rnacentral:rRNA from 1 species
GGGUUGUGAGGUUAAGCGACUAAGCGUACACGGUGGAUGCCCUGGCAGUCAGAGGCGAUGAAGGACGUGCUAAUCUGCGAUAAGCGUCGGUAAGGUGAUAUGAACCGUUAUAACCGGCGAUUUCCGAAUGGGGAAACCCAGUGUGAUUCGUCACACUAUCAUUAACUGAAUCCAUAGGUUAAUGAGGCGAACCGGGGGAACUGAAACAUCUAAGUACCCCGAGGAAAAGAAAUCAACCGAGAUUCCCCCAGUAGCGGCGAGCGAACGGGGAGCAGCCCAGAGCCUGAAUCAGUGUGUGUGUUAGUGGAAGCGUCUGGAAAGGCGCGCGAUACAGGGUGACAGCCCCGUACACAAAAAUGCACAUGCUGUGAGCUCGAUGAGUAGGGCGGGACACGUGGUAUCCUGUCUGAAUAUGGGGGGACCAUCCUCCAAGGCUAAAUACUCCUGACUGACCGAUAGUGAACCAGUACCGUGAGGGAAAGGCGAAAAGAACCCCGGCGAGGGGAGUGAAAAAGAACCUGAAACCGUGUACGUACAAGCAGUGGGAGCACAGAGCAAUCUGUGUGACUGCGUACCUUUUGUAUAAUGGGUCAGCGACUUAUAUUCUGUAGCAAGGUUAACCGAAUAGGGGAGCCGAAGGGAAACCGAGUCUUAACUGGGCGUUAAGUUGCAGGGUAUAGACCCGAAACCCGGUGAUCUAGCCAUGGGCAGGUUGAAGGUUGGGUAACACUAACUGGAGGACCGAACCGACUAAUGUUGAAAAAUUAGCGGAUGACUUGUGGCUGGGGGUGAAAGGCCAAUCAAACCGGGAGAUAGCUGGUUCUCCCCGAAAGCUAUUUAGGUAGCGCCUCGUGAAUUCAUCUCCGGGGGUAGAGCACUGUUUCGGCAAGGGGGUCAUCCCGACUUACCAACCCGAUGCAAACUGCGAAUACCGGAGAAUGUUAUCACGGGAGACACACGGCGGGUGCUAACGUCCGUCGUGAAGAGGGAAACAACCCAGACCGCCAGCUAAGGUCCCAAAGUCAUGGUUAAGUGGGAAACGAUGUGGGAAGGCCCAGACAGCCAGGAUGUUGGCUUAGAAGCAGCCAUCAUUUAAAGAAAGCGUAAUAGCUCACUGGUCGAGUCGGCCUGCGCGGAAGAUGUAACGGGGCUAAACCAUGCACCGAAGCUGCGGCAGCGACGCUUAUGCGUUGUUGGGUAGGGGAGCGUUCUGUAAGCCUGCGAAGGUGUGCUGUGAGGCAUGCUGGAGGUAUCAGAAGUGCGAAUGCUGACAUAAGUAACGAUAAAGCGGGUGAAAAGCCCGCUCGCCGGAAGACCAAGGGUUCCUGUCCAACGUUAAUCGGGGCAGGGUGAGUCGACCCCUAAGGCGAGGCCGAAAGGCGUAGUCGAUGGGAAACAGGUUAAUAUUCCUGUACUUGGUGUUACUGCGAAGGGGGGACGGAGAAGGCUAUGUUGGCCGGGCGACGGUUGUCCCGGUUUAAGCGUGUAGGCUGGUUUUCCAGGCAAAUCCGGAAAAUCAAGGCUGA